rnacentral:rRNA from 1 species
GUGGGGAAUUUUGGACAAUGGGCGAAAGCCUGAUCCAGCAAUGCCGCGUGCAGGAUGAAGGCCCUCGGGUUGUAAACUGCUUUUGUACGGAACGAAAAGCCUGGGGCUAAUAUCCCCGGGUCAUGACGGUACCGUAUGAAUAAGCACCGGCUAACUACGUGCCAGCAGCCGCGGUAAUACGUAGGGUGCAAGCGUUAAUCGGAAUUACUGGGCGUAAAGCGUGCGCAGGCGGUUUUGUAAGACAGUGGUGAAAUCCCCGGGCUCAACCUGGGAACUGCCAUUGUGACUGCAAAGCUAGGGGGCGGCAGAGGGGGAUGGAAUUCCGCGUGUAGCAGUGAAAUGCGUAGGUAUGCGGAGGAACACCGAUGGCGAAGGCAAUCCCCUGGGCCUGCACUGACGCUCAUGCACGAAAGCGUGGGGAGCAAACAGGAUUAGAAACCCGGGUAGUCC